AGAGUUUGAUUCUGGCUCAGGAUGAACGCUAGCGACAGGCUUAACACAUGCAAGUCGAGGGGCAGCAUAGAAGUAGCAAUACUUUGGUGGCGACCGGCGCACGGGUGAGUAACGCGUAUGCAACCUACCUAUCAGAGGGGAAUAACCCGGCGAAAGUCGGACUAAUACCGCAUAAAACAGGGGCACCGCAUGGUGAUAUUUGUUAAAGAAAUUCGCUGAUAGAUGGGCAUGCGUUCCAUUAGGUAGUUGGUGAGGUAACGGCUCACCAAGCCGACGAUGGAUAGGGGAACUGAGAGGUUGGUCCCCCACACUGGUACUGAGACACGGACCAGACUCCUACGGGAGGCAGCAGUGAGGAAUAUUGGUCAAUGGGCGGGAGCCUGAACCAGCCAAGUCGCCGUGAAGGAAGAAGGAUCUAUGGUUCGUAAACUUCUUUUGCAGGGGAAUAAAGUGCAGGACGUGUCCUGUUUUGUAUGUACCCUGAGAAUAAGGAUCGGCUAACUCCGUGCCAGCCGCCGC
rnacentral:rRNA from 1 species